UACGGAGGGGGCUAGCGUUGUUCGGAAUUACUGGGCGUAAAGCGCACGUAGGCGGACCAGUUAGUUGGGGGUGAAAUCCCGGGGCUCAACCCCGGAACUGCCUCCAAAACUGCUGGUCUGGAGGUCGAGAGAGGUGAGUGGAAUUCCGAGUGUAGAGGUGAAAUUCGUAGAUAUUCGGAGGAACACCUGAGGUGAAGACGGGUUGCUGGGCCGACACUGACGCUGAGGCGCGAAAGCAUGGGGAGCGAACAGG
rnacentral:rRNA from 1 species